GGCAGAAGCUUCUGUGGCUGUUGAGUUACAGGUGUGUCUGCAGGGAGGACUUCUCCAGCUCCAGCGCUGGAUGCUCAGCCCCAACCCAGCUCCCAUGGCAGGGGUUCUCCGACAGGGAAGAUCCAAGACAGAACAGACCAGAUAUCCCUGGAACCCCCCAAACAGACGAAGCAAGAGCUGAAGGAAAUGUGGCAGGGAGGACAAGAAAUGAAAGGAGAGCCUGUGCACAUGGAAGCAUUACCCAGAGGAAGCAGUGGUUCCAUGCCAGCCUCUGCUGCAGGAAGGGAGGCCAUGCCAGACCCAGGCCCAGGAGCUUUACCCUUGCAGUGCCCAGUUCCCUGUGGCAGAAAGGGAUCCCAGCACACCCUGGAAAGUGUUCUCAUCUGUGCUCCGUUCUAGAUGAGGUUGCCGGGAAGGCUUCUCCAUUAGCUUGGAUGAAUAAAGUUUCCAAGCCCUUGGAGCCUCCUGCAGAUGUGUCUACAGGGAGGACUUCUCCAGCUCCUACCUUGGAAGCUGCACAAAAGCCCAGCUCCCAUCAGAGUGGGAAAAUCCAAGAUACAACAGAUAAGAUAUCCCUGGAACCAUCCAAACAGAUGAGGCAAGAGCUGAAGGAACUCCUGCAGACAAGACAAGGUGGGUGCAUUUCCCUCAUGCUGUCCCUGGG